rnacentral:sRNA from 1 species
GCACGCUGCCUGGCCUCCAGCACCUACUUGGUCCCGCGCGCUCCCUCGUGUCGCCCCUCGGAGCAGCAGCCGCCGCGGUCGCCGCUACCCGGAAAGAAGUCAGAGACGCCGCGAGGUCGCCGCCACCGCCAUGCCCAAGAAUAAAGGUAAAGGAGGUAAAAAUAGACGCAGAGGUAAGAAUGAGAAUGAAUCUGAAAAAAGAGAACUGGUAUUCAAAGAGGAUGGUCAGGAGUAUGCUCAGGUAAUCAAAAUGUUGGGAAAUGGACGGCUAGAAGCAAUGUGUUUCGAUGGUGUAAAGAGGUUAUGUCACAUCAGAGGAAAAUUGAGAAAAAAGGUUUGGAUAAAUACCUCGGACAUUAUAUUGGUUGGUCUCCGAGACUACCAGGAUAACAAAGCUGAUGUAAUUUUAAAAUACAAUGCAGACGAAGCUAGAAGUCUGAAGGCAUAUGGCGAGCUUCCAGAGCAUGGUAAUGUCUGAGUUACUAUAUUAACUUGUCAUGUGGUAUUUAGGUUAUCUGUUGUUUAGGUGAAGGAACUGUGGAUUUUGCUUAUUUACUUUAGUGCUUACAUUUUUAGUUUUAAGUAUGCCUGCCUAUGCUUCAUAAUACUAGAUACUAUAAGAAAGAAAUUACUGGAAUUCUGUUCCUAAUAAAUAUGGUGAGGAGUUAUAUUCUAUAAGCUUUGGACUUCCACAUAAUGCUAACUAAAGGAAUAAUUUUGUUAUAGUAUCUAUUAAAA